AAAAAAAAAAAAAAAACUUAGCUUCAGUACAAUAAAGGAUAAACAAAGCUCAAUGCAACAUCUAUGUUAUGACAGAACAUGACAUGAAUAGCCUCUCAGAUCCUAGAUGCAGUGGAGAUAUUGUCAAGAGUCUCAUAUCUAAUGAUUAUAAAGAAUUAAAAGAGCUUAUAAAGGUAAAGUUGUAAAAGUUAGUUCUAAAAUGGUUGGUCCUAGCCUAAGUAAACCCAUCUCACUUGUCUGGCCCCUUCACUCGCCUCCACCAAGGUUCCCGGUGUUGCUGAUGCAUCAAAGUUUAAGGUUUAAGAGAAGGAUC
rnacentral:misc_RNA from 1 species